UACGUAGGGGGCAAGCGUUGUCCGGAUUUAUUGGGCGUAAAGAGCGUGUAGGCGGUUUGGUAGGUCCGCUGUGAAAACUCGAGGCUCAACCUCGAGACGCCGGUGGAAACCAUCAGACUAGAGUCCGGAAGAGGAGAGUGGAAUUCCUGGUGUAGCGGUGAAAUGCGCAGAUAUCAGGAAGAACACCCGUGGCGAAAGCGGCUCACUGGACCGCAACUGACGCUGAGGCGCGAAAGCUAGGGGAGCAAACAGG
rnacentral:rRNA from 1 species